rnacentral:lncRNA from 10 species
AGCACGUCCAGAACACGCCAGAGACUGUCUCUUCCUGGUUUGCAAACUCAUACCACUAGUCAAAAGGCUGUGGCAGGAGGCCAGGCAGAUCACAGCGUCCAUGCCUAGAUGCUCCCUGACCCCCAGGAACCAGAAGUGCUGUCUCCUGAAGGCUCUGGAAACCCGGAAUCAGCCUACGAGGCACCAGGGCCACCUUGGAGGGUGGAAAUGAGGACCUCAGGCCCCAGAGGGCAUGCAGGCGAGGUGAAGUUCAGGAGAGAUUUUAAGCCGGGUGCAGUGGCUCACGCCUGUAAUCUCAGCAUUUUGGGAGGCCAAGGCAGAUGGAUAACCUGAGGUCAGGAGUUCGAGACCAGCCUGGCUAACACGGUGAAACCCCGUCUCUACUAAAAAUACAAAAAUUGCCUGGGUGUGGUGGUGCAUGCCUGUAAUCCUAGCUACAUGGAAGGCUGAGGCAGGAGGAUUGCUUGAACCUGAGUGGCAGAGGUUGCAAUGAGCUGAGAUUGUGCCACCGAGCUCCAGCCUGGACUACAAAGUGAGACUCCAUCUCAAAAUAAUAAAUAAAUAAAUAAAUAAAUCUAUCAAUCCAGAUUUUACCAAUUAGGAGACUGAGCCUCAGAGAAGUUAAAUCACUUGUCCAGAGCCCUGAAAUUGGAGAAGCAGCUGCGCUCAGACUGGAACCCUAGAUGGUAGGGCCCCUUAGUCCUCCUUUAUCUUGGGGGGAUCCAGGGAAGGCUUUUCAGCAGGGGAAUGAUGCAAUUGGAUACACAUGUCAGGGGGAACAUGACUGCUUGUGGCAAGGAACGCAGUAAGCCUGGG